CAGGGGUCAGUCUCCUGAAGCCUUGCACAGGGAAGGAAAUGUUCCCUUCCUUGUGCAUUAGGCAAGCUGCCCUGAACUUCCUGCAGCACCCACCAUAGAAUAACCCACCAACUCCAUAGGAAACCUCGCUUAUGCACCCAGAUCUGGUCUGUGAUUUGCUACAGAAAGACAAGAAAUGGCCUGUGGCUUCUUGCUAGAGAGAAGAUACCAUAGAAGGAAGACCCUGCGAAGAUAAAGGGAAGAGACAACCAUCUGCAAGCAGAGGAGAGAGGCUUCAAAAGAAACCAACUCUGCCAGCACCUUGAUCUUGGACUUCUAACAUCUAGAACCAUGAGAAAAUAAAUUUCUGCUGUUUAAGCCA